UACGUAGGGUGCAAGCGUUAAUCGGAAUUACUGGGCGUAAAGCGUGCGCAGGCGGUUUUGUAAGUCUGUCGUGAAAUCCCCGGGCUCAACCUGGGAAUUGCGAUGGAGACUGCAAGGCUAGAAUCUGGCAGAGGGGGGUAGAAUUCCACGUGUAGCGGUGAAAUGCGUAGAGAUGUGGAGGAACACCAAUGGCGAAGGCAGCCUUCUGGGCCAACACUGACGCUCA
rnacentral:rRNA from 1 species